rnacentral:rRNA from 1 species
CAAUAGCGUAUAUUAAAGUUGUUGCGGUAAAAAAGCUCGUAGUUGGAUUUCUACCGAAGAUAGCCGGUCGGGUCUUCGACCUUGUAUCUGGUUUUGUCUUUGGUAUCCUCAUAGGGAACGUUUCUGCGCUUUAUUGCGUGGUGCGGUAUCUAUGACUUUUACUUUGAGGAAAUUAGAGUGUUCACGGCAGGCAAACGCCUUGAAUAUAUUAGCAUGGAAUAAUAACAUAGGAUCUUCGUCCUAUUUUGUUGGUUUCUAGGGCUAAGAUAAUGAUUAAUAGGGAUAAUUGAGGGCAUCUGUAUCAACGCGUCAGAGGUGGAAUUCUUGGAUUGCGUUGCGACAAACUACUGCGAAAGCAUUUGCCAAGGAUGUUUUCAUUGA